rnacentral:rRNA from 1 species
UAGCGUAGGGGGCAAGCGUUGUCCGGAAUUAUUGGGCGUAAAGAGCGCGUAGGCGGUCCGAUAAGUCGGCUGUGAAAAGUCAGGGGCUCAACCCUUGGAAGCCGGCCGAUACUGUCGGACUAGAGUCCGGAAGAGGCGAGUGGAAUUCCCGGUGUAGCGGUGAAAUGCGCAGAUAUCGGGAGGAACACCAAUGGCGAAGGCAGCUCGCUGGGACGGUACUGACGCUGAGGCGCGAAAGCGUGGGGAGCAACAGGG